UCACCGGUGCGGUUUAGCGCUUGAACUAUCCGACCCGGCCUCGUUCCCCCAUCAAAAGCAUCGGGACGCCAGAGUUCAAAUCCCUCGUCAGAACCGCGCUCCUCUGUCUCUCUCUCUCUCUCUCGCUCGCUCUCUCGAUCGCAGCGCCUUGCUGCACCGCGUUCCAUCGCCCAACCCUCGCGCUGCUGAAGCCACCGAGGGCAAGGACCAGACCGGAGGAUCGAGAGGCAGAAACCCUAGUUUCUCCGCCGCGAAUCCGGUGAAGAAGAUGAUCCUUCGUACCCCAGCUCAGAAGAAGAGGAGGCCCGAUACCGUCCUCACCGACCAUGAGAGCCCCGUCUCCGAUCGCCGUCUCGUGCUCUACGAGGGUCCCGCGCCGGUUACCGCCGUCGACCCCUCCGAUGAGAUGGUCUGCACCUACCACUGCCGCCAGAUGGUCAAGUCAGACUUUCUGGUGGCCCUGAAUAAUGCCGAGAAGCAAGUAGCUGACUAUGAAGCCAAAUUGGUGAUGCUGAACAGCGAGUUCAGCCAAAGUGAGGAUGCGAGAAAGAAUUAUAAAGAUCGUGUUUUGUCUUUGGAGCAAGAACUUGAUGCAUCAAAAGGGCGUGAACAUGCAUUACAAGAACGAUUGUUGAAAGAGGUAGGUGAUUCUAUGGAGCGCUACAAGGAACAAGUAAAGCGGUGCUGUGAACUAGAGAUGCAACUCAAUAAAGAAAUUGAGUCUCGUAAAAUUGCUGAAUUAUCAAUCACAUCAGCUAAUGAAAGAUCUAGAGAUCUGGAAGGGAAGCUUCAGAGGUUAUCCGACAGCUCUGAGAGGGAGAAAAAUAUUCUCAAGAGACAACUUGAACAUCUGCAAGAUGACUCGAAGCUCUCUUCCUAUAAAAUUGCUGCUGAUCUGGAAAGAAUGAAGCUCAGAGCAGAAAAUUCAGAAAAAGAGUCAGAAUUGUUAAGAGAGCAGUUGAAUGAUUUGAGGAUACAGCUAGAUGAGUGUCUUCGUGAGAAGAGCGGACUAGAGCACAAGCUUGUAACAUAUGCUGCUGCUCCACAAGAAAGUACUUCUGAAGAUGAUAAUUUAGUGAAGCAUCUAAGAGAGCAGCUCCGAAACUAUGAGGCAGAAGUUCAAGAAGCUAGGAAAUUGAAAUCAUAUCAUGUUAAUACUGAGUUAUUGAAGGAAAAACUAUUAGAACAAAAGGGGCGCAGGGAAAAGGCAGAAACUGAGUUAUCUAAAUUGCAGGAGGCCCAAGUUUAUGCACAGAACUUGGAACUUGAACUUGUGUCUUGGAAAUCAUUGCUUGAUGAGCUACCUGAUGUAUCAGCUGUCACUGAUAUACCCAAAAAAUUUGCAGCUUUGCAAAACGAAACAAUUCAAACCAUGUUGGAGGUUGGUGAAACAAAAGCACAUUUGAAACAAUUAGAGGUUGCUCUAGAGUUGGCAGAGGAUAAGAGACAGCAUGCUGAAAAGGAGUCUUCAUUGGCUAAAGAAAAAGCUAGUAAUUCUGCAUUGGAGAUCAGGCGUCUUGAGCUUAUGCUUUCUUCUGUAAUGGAAGAAAGAGAUAGGGUGAAAAAGGAAGCUAUCAUGUUAAGUAAACAGAAGAUUGGGAACGAAGGUGGACUAUCAACUGAAACAUUAGUCAAGGAUAUGGAGUCAUCUCUUGUUGAAAGGGAAAACACGAUCAAAGAACUGGAGAGUAAUUUGCAUGAACAGCGAGAAAUGGUUCAUCGUCUACAUGAUGAACUUAAGCUAUUGAAUGAACAGCUAAGUACUGAAAAAAGAAAAGUUAAAUCCUUGGAGCGGGAGGGUGAUCGGUUACGUUCUGAGAUAUCUUUACUGGAGUCAAAGCUGGGACAUGGUGAUUAUUCUGCCGCAAACACAAAGGUGCUGCGCAUGGUAAAUACGCUAGCAGUCGAUAAUGAAGCAAAGCAUACCAUAGAAGCACUGAGGGCUGAGCUGAAAAGAACACAGGCAAAGCUACAAGCUGUUGAAGAAUUGAAGGGACAGUCUGAUGCCACCAAUAUCAUUGAUGGAGGCAUACCUGAAAAACUAGCACAACUUAAAGGUCAGAUUGCAACACUUGAGAAACGUGAAGAGAGAUACAAGGCAGUUUUUGCUGAGAAAAUUUCAGUAUUUAGAAGAGCCUGUUGCUUGUUGUUUGGAUAUAAGAUUGUAAUGGAUGAUCAACACCGGCCUGAUGGAAUUCCUAUCACACGGUUCACACUGCAAUCUAUAUAUGCUCAAAGUGAUGAUGAAAAGCUGGAAUUUGAAUAUGAAUCAGGAAAUACAAACAUAUUGGUUAAUGACUACUCUUCUCAACCAGAGAUAUGUCAUCAGAUUGAGAUAUUUAUAAAGAAGAUGAAUUCGAUACCUGCAUUCACGGCUAACUUGACAAUCGAGUCAUUCAAUAAGCGGACCUUGAGUUGAAGCCCUUACAUCGUGGAUGGAGAUGGUCAGUAAUAUUCACUUCUCUGUUCUGACUGAAGAAUAUCAAGUGGUUCAUGACCUCUUUCCAUUUGGUUUCCUCAAACACGCUAGAAGUGACAAACAUAUGAAGAAGUGGAUGGACGAGGAGACCGCUUCUUUUUCGUAUUCACAGGGUCACCUUUUUGUUUGCUCGGACAUUCUCUGUCAUAAAAUGGUCUUCAUGUUUAUGAUGCUUUUCGUGCAAGCUCUCUGAACGCUAUGUCAGAUUUGCUGCUUGUGCAGAUGAUAAUUCACUUUCCAGUUCGAGCAGCUUAGAUGGCGCAGUAAUGCUUGACCGUUCUCCCCGUCUCGACAACUACUGCAUGCCUCCCAUUGUGUUUUUGUAAAUAAUCGUGUAGGUGGUCAAAGUUAAAUGAACCACCACUAUUACUGCAUCGAGCAUGUAUAAUCUGGAAGUAAUUUGAACUUUGAAGAUGGCUUUUAUGA